UCGUAGUCCGGAUCGCAGUCUGCAACUCGACUGCGUGAAGUCGGAAUCGCUAGUAAUCGCGAAUCAGAAUGUCGCGGUGAAUACGUUCCCGGGCCUUGUACACACCGCCCGUCACACCAUGGGAGUGGGUUGCACCAGAAGUAGCUAGUCUAACCUUCGGGAGGACGGUUACCACGGUGUGAUUCAUGACUGGGGUGAAGUCGUAACAAGGUAGCCGUAGGGGAACCUGCGGCUGGAUCACCUCCUUA
rnacentral:rRNA from 1 species